rnacentral:lncRNA from 1 species
GUUCAUGAAAGGGUAUUAUCACCCUUGUUGUGGGAGAGGCUACAGGUUCAGCUUUUAGUAGUCCCGUGGAAGUAUGACUUGGCCCACGACACAACACAUGCAUGUGGCCAUUUACACACACAUACACACAUACACACAGACACACGCACAUACACACAUACACACAUCCACACGCACACGCACAUGCACACACACACGCACACACACAUGCACACACACACACACACACACGCACAUACACACAUACACACGCACAUACACACAUACACACGCACAUAUACACAUACACAUGCACACACAUACACACAGACACACGCACAUACACACAUACACACAUCCACACGCACACGCACAUANNN